rnacentral:rRNA from 1 species
UACGAAGGGGGCUAGCGUUGCUCGGAAUCACUGGGCGUAAAGCGCACGUAGGCGGAUCUUUAAGUCAGGGGUGAAAUCCUGGAGCUCAACUCCAGAACUGCCUUUGAUACUGGCAUUCUUGAGUCCGAGAGAGGUGAGUGGAAUUCCGAGUGUAGAGGUGAAAUUCGUAGAUAUUCGGAAGAACACCAGUGGCGAAGGCGGCUCACUGGCUCGGAACUGACGCUGAGGUGCGAAAGCGUGGGGAGCAAACAGG